rnacentral:tRNA from 1 species
AGGGAUAUAGCUCAAUUGGAGAGUAAUGGUUUUCAACACUGAUGGUUGUGGGUUUCGAAUCCUACUAUCCUGG